rnacentral:tRNA from 1 species
UAUGGCAGAAUAGUGCAAUAAGCUUAAGAUUUAUGUAUAAAGUAAACCUUUUUUUAG